AAUAAGACAUUAUGUCUUGUAAUGACCUGGGUUCUAGGUGGCUGGAUGUUGGAAGAUAAAGAAAAGUUCUACCGGAGAUUUAACACAAUUAUUUCCUUUAAUACAAUAGAAAUGGUGACCAAUCAGGAAAUUUUAACUUAUAACAGAAUUAUUUAACUUACAUGAACUAAAACUAAACAUAAAAAAGUAAAUAAAACAAUAAUAACAAUAUACUAACGAUUUCACAAAUUAAACUAAAGUGGCCACCACCAAGAAACAAAAAA